rnacentral:rRNA from 1 species
UACGUAGGGUGCAAGCGUUGUCCGGAAUUAUUGGGCGUAAAGGGCUCGUAGGCGGUUCGUCACGUCGGGAGUGAAAACUCGGAGCUUAACUCCGAGCCUGCUUCCGAUACGGGCAGACUAGAGGUAGGCAGGGGAGAGCGGAACUCCUGGUGUAGCGGUGGAAUGCGCAGAUAUCAGGAAGAACACCGGUGGCGAAGGCGGCUCUCUGGGCUACCUUACCGCUGAGGAGCGAAAGCGUGGGUAGCGAACAGG